rnacentral:lncRNA from 1 species
CCCGGGAGGCGGAGGUUGCCGUGAGCCAAGAUUGUGCCAUUGUACUCCAGCCUGGGUGACAAGAGCGAAACUCCGUCUCAAAAAAAAAAAAAAAAAAAAGCUGGGCAUGACGACAUUUUUAAAUUCUAGGUAUAGAGCAAUAAAAGAAGAAUUCAAGCAAAGGGAUCAGGAAGAGGAUUGCUACUAAGAGGCAGAGAAACCAAUGAAGCCUUUUGCCAUCUCACACUAGAAAGACAAAAAGUCAUAGAGGCUUGAUUUUUAUAAGGAAAGAGAAGUGAGAAACUGACCUCGAUACUUUGUUGGACUUGCCUGAAGACAUUUGCUGAAUUCUCAGGAUGUGCUGGGAUGGAGAUUAGAGGCCAAAUAAAAACCUCUGGUAAGUAGUGCACAGGUUUUGGUAAUCACUUAUUGCUGAAAAGGGAGGUAUUAGAUGUCAGGGCUCCAUAAGUCCUCAGGUGAAACACCUAGAUGCUAUGACCGAAGAGUCAGGAUUGAUCUAGAAGUAAACUGAACCUAUAGUCAUCUCAGUCUCGAAUGGGAACAAAGCACUAACCGCCUACUUGAU